AGUCUAUUGUGGGAGUAAAGCAGGCAGAAGGCCAUUUGGAGCUCCAGAAAGUGAAAGGCGAUGGCAGCGAAGUCUAAUGACCUGAUGGGCAGCUGAGGGUUUGCCGCUCUAUUCACACAAUGGAGAUCCGCGGCUGCACACCUGCAAAUCCACACACUCCAGGCCGACAUUACGGACAGGUUAUUUCAUGAGAAAAACGGAGAUGAGACACAGAACUAUGAACGGACACAUAAUCGUUGGAAGGUCUCCAUUGAUAAAAGCAUGUGAAGAGUGAUUCCAGAACACCUAUGCCGCAGUAAAACACACCGCAAUGGAGACCAACUACAAAAGACAGUAAAAAACAAUACUAGGAAGAGAGUUUCCUCUGUCCAUUCGGCCACUCUGUGAAUCGCCAUUCUAUGAAGAUGCCCCCCGAGCCCCGAAAAAGCGGGACACAGGAGAUCAACAUGAGACAGAUUGUAUUUUUACUUGAGUCCAUUUCUGAAGAAUAAACUGUACUUUUUAGACUU
rnacentral:lncRNA from 1 species